UACGGGGGGGGCAAGCGUUGUUCGGAAUUACUGGGCUUAAAGAGUCCGUAGGCGGCGCAGAAAGUAGGGUGUGAAAGCCCUCGGCUCAACCGAGGAAUUGCGCUCUAAACUACUGUGCUUGAGGAACCUAGAGGUGAGCGGAACUGAUGGUGGAGCGGUGAAAUGCGUUGAUAUCAUCAGGAACACCGGAGGCGAAGGCGGCUCACUGGGGGUUUUCUGACGCUGAGGGACGAAAGCCAGGGGAGCGAACGGG
rnacentral:rRNA from 1 species